rnacentral:rRNA from 1 species
AUGGAUGAUAGAAAGGACAUAGCUCUUAAGACUGAACUUUUGGGAAAGGAAGGUGCUGAAGUCUGGUACAGGCAUUUUGCCUCCUCAAACAAUGAUCAAACUGCCAUUCAGGAGACACAAGAGCAAGAAGUUAAUUCCCUAGCUCCAUCUGCACCUCUUUUGGCCCAGGCUGCUGCAUCUACUUCAACCAUGCACAACAUCAAGAAGAGAAAGGAAAAGGUUCCACUAGUGGAGACUGAGAUAAGGAGAAGUUGUCGAUUACAACAGCUAGCCAAGGGUUAUAAGAAAAAAAUCUGCAUGGAUAAGAAUUGUCUUGCCUGUCAUGCUCUACCUCCCCCAAUUCCUGCAAAAGUGAUUAAAAGUCUUAAUACUUCUUUCUGCAAGGUUGCUGCUCAAGAUACUUCAGAGGAGAUGCUGAAAACCAAACGCAAGAAAAGCAAGAGCAACCCAGCUGCUAAGGAGGCCCCAAGAGUUAGCUCUAUUAAUUAA